rnacentral:sRNA from 13 species
AAGACUCAGUCCUAAUUAAAAGCAUAUAUCUGCAUUGCGUGCCAAUGUUUCUGGCAGUCAAGGAUGUGGGGCAAAGCUACGUGGAUGUGGGCUGUGUUCCUUGGUGCAAGAAGGCAACUCACGUUUCCUAAAUCAAUAAUAUUGCAAGCGACUGUUUAAUUGGUCCGGUAGGAACCGGUUGAGUCAUCGAGUUGCAAGGAGCCCAAGAGCCUUAUCUGGAGCCGUGCUGAGGAAAUUCACAAACAGUCUGACGUUUAUGAUUGCUGCAAACAAAAGCUACGAUGACUGCACUUGAAAUUGAUAAUUACGAUGCAAAAUAUUUGCCUAUUGUCCCUGCACACAACAUACUUACACACAUUUGUGCACUUAAUAAUGUUGUACAGGGAAGUCUAUUGCUUUGGGCUUAUUGAUUGCCUAUUGCUCAUUAAAUGUGGAUAACUGGCAAAGAUAGGAGGAACUGCUAAUUGCUGCAUCCUGGUUCGAAAUUAUAACGCAAACCGUAUCUAUUUUUGGAAAAUUCAAAGAUUUUUGAGAAUAUUGAAUCAUUAAAUAUUAAAUUCAAUUAAUUCGUGUAGGUAUUUGAAGUGAAAGGCUUAACAUUCCUCAAAAUUUCAUCCGUAUUUAU